rnacentral:rRNA from 1 species
UACGGAGGAUGCAAGCGUUGUCCGGAAUCAUUGGGCGUAAAGGGUCCUGAGGUGGUUUGCUCAGUCCACUGUGAAAGUUCAGGGCUUACCCUUGAAAAUGCGGUGGAAACUAGUAGGCUAGAGUACGGUGGGGGCAGAGGGAAUUCCCGAUGUAUCGGUGAAAUGCAUAGAUAUCGGGAAGAACACCGACGGCGAAGGCACUCUGCUGGGCCGACACUGACACUGAAAGACGAAAGCCAGGGGAGCGAAUGGG